rnacentral:rRNA from 1 species
GCCAAAAGGGCGGGGUGCCUAUACAUGCAAGUCGAACGAACUCUGGUAUUGAUUGGUGCUUGCAUCAUGAUUUACAUUUGAGUGAGUGGCGAACUGGUGAGUAACACGUGGGAAACCUGCCCAGAAGCGGGGGAUAACACCUGGAAACAGAUGCUAAUACCGCAUAACAACUUGGACCGCAUGGUCCGAGUUUGAAAGAUGGCUUCGGCUAUCACUUUUGGAUGGUCCCGCGGCGUAUUAGCUAGAUGGUGGGGUAACGGCUCACCAUGGCAAUGAUACGUAGCCGACCUGAGAGGGUAAUCGGCCACAUUGGGACUGAGACACGGCCCAAACUCCUACGGGAGGCAGCAGUAGGGAAUCUUCCACAAUGGACGAAAGUCUGAUGGAGCAACGCCGCGUGAGUGAAGAAGGGUUUCGGCUCGUAAAACUCUGUUGUUAAAGAAGAACAUAUCUGAGAGUAACUGUUCAGGUAUUGACGGUAUUUAACCAGAAAGCCACGGCUAACUACGUGCCAGCAGCCGCGGUAAUACGUAGGUGGCAAGCGUUGUCCGGAUUUAUUGGGCGUAAAGCGAGCGCAGGCGGUUUUUUAAGUCUGAUGUGAAAGCCUUCGGCUCAACCGAAGAAGUGCAUCGGAAACUGGGAAACUUGAGUGCAGAAGAGGACAGUGGAACUCCAUGUGUAGCGGUGAAAUGCGUAGAUAUAUGGAAGAACACCAGUGGCGAAGGCGGCUGUCUGGUCUGUAACUGACGCUGAGGCUCGAAAGUAUGGGUAGCAAACAGGAUUAGAUACCCUGGUAGUCCAUACCGUAAACGAUGAAUGCUAAGUGUUGGAGGGUUUCCGCCCUUCAGUGCUGCAGCUAACGCAUUAAGCAUUCCGCCUGGGGAGUACGGCCGCAAGGCUGAAACUCAAAGGAAUUGACGGGGGCCCGCACAAGCGGUGGAGCAUGUGGUUUAAUUCGAAGCUACGCGAAGAACCUUACCAGGUCUUGACAUACUAUGCAAAUCUAAGAGAUUAGACGUUCCCUUCGGGGACAUGGAUACAGGUGGUGCAUGGUUGUCGUCAGCUCGUGUCGUGAGAUGUUGGGUUAAGUCCCGCAACGAGCGCAACCCUUAUUAUCAGUUGCCAGCAUUAAGUUGGGCACUCUGGUGAGACUGCCGGUGACAAACCGGAGGAAGGUGGGGAUGACGUCAAAUCAUCAUGCCCCUUAUGACCUGGGCUACACACGUGCUACAAUGGAUGGUACAACGAGUUGCGAACUCGCGAGAGUAAGCUAAUCUCUUAAAGCCAUUCUCAGUUCGGAUUGUAGGCUGCAACUCGCCUACAUGAAGUCGGAAUCGCUAGUAAUCGCGGAUCAGCAUGCCGCGGUGAAUACGUUCCCGGGCCUUGUACACACCGCCCGUCACACCAUGAGAGUUUGUAACACCCAAAGUCGGUGGGGUAACCUUUUAGGAACCAGCCGCCUAAGGUGGACAGAAUG